rnacentral:rRNA from 1 species
GACGAACGCUGGCGGCAUGCCUAAUACAUGCAAGUCGAGCGAACAGAUGAAGUGCUUGCACUUCUGACGUUAGCGGCGAACGGGUGAGUAACACGUAAGGAAUCUACCUAUAAGCGGGGGAUAACAUUCGGAAACGGGUGCUAAUACCGCAUAAUAUCUUCUUCCGCAUGGAAGAAGAUUGAAAGACGGCUCUGCUGUCACUUAUAGAUGACCUUGCGGUGCAUUAGUUAGUUGGUGGGGUAAUAGCCUACCAAGACGAUGAUGCAUAGCCGACCUGAGAGGGUGUUCGGCCACAUUGGGACUAAGACAAGGCCCAAACUCCUACGGGAGGCAGCAGUAGGGAAUCUUCAGCAAUGGGCGAAAGCCUGACGGAGCAAUGCCGCGUGAGUGAAGAAGGCCUUCGGGUCGUAAAACUCUGUUAUAAGAGAAGAACAAAUUGUAGAGUAACUGCUACAGUCUUGACGGUAUCUUAUCAGAAAGCCACGGCUAACUACGUGCCAGCCGCCGCAGUAA